CGCUGGUCCUUCUUGUCAGCCAGGAGACCUUCCAGAGAGGAGAGAGAGGAGCGGUGAUGCAGACGCCCCCACUGGCUCCUCAACUGCUUCAACAACCAACACAAUUGCCUGAAAACCCAACCGACAGGCGAGAUUGCUUUACUGCCUUUGAUAAGAUGCAUCUCGCUGCAGGCCGGCUCCAGCCAUCCGGGGUCGGGUUUCAUCAGGGGCUUCUGAUUUAAUAAAGAAUUUUACAGACGUA